GCUAAAGGAAUGAUGUCAUCGCUACAGAAAUUUCUACCGCAGCAAUAUCUGCAGUGACAAGAGAGAACUGGUGUAGUUCUUUCACUAAAGACAGACUAGACAAGUAUAUUCUGCUUAAGAUUUAAACCAAUGUCGAUAACUACCAGUGCAAUUAUCCGCGCAACGUUAUGGUGGUAGUUGUUUCACAAAAUCACUAAUGGGAAUUGACUGAAGCACUAUGUGAAUGACGUCAUCAACGAUGUGGCUGUGAGUUCUGUCACCACGAACAGCGGUCGGAGACCCAGUCGUAGCCUACUUUGGUAAAGGUGUUUUUUCCCCCAUUCUAUUGGACAAAUAUAAAUAUCCUGAUGUCUUCUAAAAUGAACGGAUUAGUAGGCCUAUAACACUUUUUGAAGCUUACUCUGAUGAAAUGUUGCUAGUCUAGAACUAUUCCCAUGCAGUAUAUUUCUGGUUUUAAGAAAGCUGUGCACCAAUAAAACAAUAUAGGCCUAAGUUCCA